rfam:Triticum aestivum genome assembly, contig: Triticum_aestivum_CS42_TGACv1_scaffold_501722_6BL
CAACUACUCCCUCUGUCCCAAAAUUCUUGUCUUAGAUUUGUCUAGAUAUGGAUGUAUCUAAUACUAAAAUGUGACUUGAAACAUCCGUAUCUAGACAAAUCUAAGACAAGAAUUUUGGGACGGAGGGAGUACUUU